rnacentral:rRNA from 1 species
CAAGUCGAACGAACCUUCGGGUUAGUGGCGGACGGGUGAGUAACGCGUGGGAAUCUGCCCUCAGGAGGGGGAUAACGGUUGGAAACGACCGCUAAUACCCCAUAUGCCGAUAGGUGAAAUGAAUUUCGCCUGAGGAUGAGCCCGCGUCUGAUUAGCUAGUUGGUAAGGUAAAGGCUUACCAAGGCUUCGAUCAGUAGCUGGUCUGAGAGGAUGAUCAGCCACACUGGGACUGAGACACGGCCCAGACUCCUACGGGAGGCAGCAGUGGGGAAUUUUCCGCAAUGGGCGAAAGCCUGACGGAGCAACGCCGCGUGAGGGACGAAGGCCUCUGGGCUGUAAACCUCUUUUCUCAAGGAAGAAGAUAUGACGGUACUUGAGGAAUAAGCCACGGCUAAUUCCGUGCCAGCAGCCGCGGUAAUACGGGAGUGGCAAGCGUUAUCCGGAAUUAUUGGGCGUAAAGCGUCCGCAGGCGGCCUUUCAAGUCUGCUGUUAAAGCGUGGAGCUUAACUCCAUUAUGGCAGUGGAAACUGAUAGGCUUGAGUAUGGUA